rnacentral:lncRNA from 1 species
UUUACGUGCACAUCCUCUUUCUAUCAUAUUCAAACACGAUUUAGUUGUGCAAGUUUAAUAUAUAAAGCACUAUUCAAGUAUUACUGUCAAUUUAAGCUUUUCCUUAUCAUCAUGAUCAUGGAGAGCCUUAUCAAAAUUAUGUGUGUCUGCUUCAUAAUAGUUGGCCUUGUUCCAAAUGGUUUAAACGGAAAUAGUUAGUAUUUUGUUAUCGUAUAGUAUCGUAUGCAUAAACAUUAACGAUAGAAGUGUAAGUAGAUUCAAAUAAUAUACAUUUUCUGUCCAAAUUUAUAAUUAUCUAAGGUCAAAGCUUACUGUAGAUUGUUAAAGCUACUCUGUAUAGGUCUGUUUGUUUCUAAUACUAUAGCCGGGUGAAAUGGCUAUUCGACUAUAUGUAAAAUCAAGAAGGAAGAUUUCGCUCCUUUAACUUUUAUUUCAGCAGUCCGGCAAGACCGAACAACACACUCCAAUCUAAAUGUAAAGUAACAUACAAACAAUAACAAUAUACAUAAGCACAAGCAAUUAAAGGAUUAAGCAGAUUAACAGAUGACAAAUUAGAAAUAACAAUAGAUUUAAAGAGUAAUUAGUGUCCGACACUUAUUUGUAAAUUAUAGUCCAAACAGAGAAUAACUAAUGAGAUAAAUAGAGUAAAUGGAUUUAAGACCUUUGUUCAAGAUUAUGACACAUAAUCCGUGUAAAACACUUAUGCCUGAAUUUACGACAAAGUAUGCAAAACCUAAAUAUACAUUAAAACAAUUGAAAUACUAAACUGUUGUUUAAAAACUAAUUUCAUUGCACUGUCCAAAUUGUCCGAUCAUAAUACUAUAAUAUUCUUCGAUUUAAUUUGACUCUUUUAGACGUGGUGUUCUGCAUGCAUUUACAAUAUAAAUACAUUAUCGGUAAUUAAUAGAUUUGUUUUCACGAGCUUAUAACCUGUUUUGUUUUACAAGGUUCAAAUAAUAUUUCAACAAUGUAUAUUGUUUAAUCCUACAAAUUUAUAUGCAGGCCAAUAUACAAAUGAUAUAACUUUAAAGUGAUAUGAAACUUCAAAUUAAAAAAAAAAUAUAUGCAUAUGUUUUUUUUUAUAAAUAAACGGCUAGUUUUCGUUAUGAAACUUAUGUACAUGUACUUUUUCAUAAGAAAAUUUGAUAAUUUGUCCAAAUUUAUAAGAAGUUUAUUUAAUUACUUGCUUACAGCAUACAAUUCCCCGACAUGUUUUCCGUAUGCAGCGUGACCUUUCCUGUAAAAAUCCGGUGAUCGCAAUACGCAAGUGCGAAUGUAAAACCAAACGUACUAAACAUCGCUCCGGCAUCAAGAUAACUAUAUCUUAUUGUACCUGUUAUACACGUGCCUACCUGGAUAUCCAUGCUUCUUUCUUGAUGGUUUACAAACAAGUGACAAUCGAUAAACUUCGGCUUCAAAACACGACUAUUUAUUAGCUGCCAUAUUUUCACAACUUUGACGGAAUGAAAUAUUUUUUGACGAUUAUACGGACUUUAUGCGAAAAAAGUGAUAAAAUCGUGCACAGAAGACUAAGUUUAUGAUAUAUGUUGCAUUAGUUCAAGUAUCGGAUUAACAUUAUUUGUUACCGGUCACUCGUUUCAUAUGACUUUAAAGAUCAGUUUUAAGAAAUAUCAGUCGUUCAGUAAACAAAUCGGCACUGCUUAGACACAGAAUGCAAAGAUAAAUCAUGAUGAUAACCGUCAUUUGAAUAUUACUGAUUACUAGCGAUAUAAACCGGAGAACAGAAAUGCAAUGAAAUAGUCAAAAUUGUAUCAUACAUAUUUUACAUAUUUUACUCAUAGAAUGAAAUUCAAAACAGUGUGGCUGUGGCCAUUGAUUGACACAUUAAAUUCAUCCAUUUACUGGGACAAUUUACGUGAACGUUUGUCUGUAACGACCACUGUUCACGACGUACCUACGAUAGACAUUUAAACUGUGGGGUCACCAAAGGUUUCUUAACGCCUUUAAUUAUAAAAUAAUUCGAAAAAUUAAUCAGGAAUAACCUUUAUGUUUUGAUUUAUAUAAUUGAUAUAAAUCAAAACAUCGUGUUAUUUCUGAUUAAUUUUUCGAAUUACUUUAUUAAGGUGUUGAGAACCUUUGGUGACCCCAUAGUUUAAGUGUCUUUAAAAAGUACAUAGUGAGCAGUGGUCGUUACAUACAAACGUUCACCUAAAUUAUCCCAGUCAAUGGAUGAAUUUAAUGUGUCAAUCAAUGGCCACAGCAACAUUGUUUUGAAUUUCAUUCUAUAUAUAUUUAUUAUCGACACUUUGGAGUCGAGAUUAGGAAUUGAACGAUGGACAGUUAGUGCGUGAAUUUUUCUUGCUACCUGAUUGGGAGAUAUUACGAGACGUGAAUAAUCAAAGUUUAUUGAUUGGUUAGGACAAUCCAAACCUAGGAAAUGUCCUUCAAUCCCGUUGAGUAUCGGAUUUGUCCUCUCUAUUUAAGCAAUUAGAUUUUGCCUGGUUAUUAAUCAUGCAUAUUCAACGUUAAACGAUAUAUACUACUACAUAACGUGUGACCUCACGUCUGGGUAAAAUUCGUUGAUUGAGGCACGUGGCUAUUCUAGUAAAUGAAUUAAUCUACAAAGCGAGAGCACUUUCCAUUUUAAUCAGCUAAGAGUCGACAAGCCCUUUUUGAAAGGCUAACGCUUGUGUAGCUUAAGUGGUCGAGUGGUCAAAUGCGCUGGCCAUAUAUGACCACUGGGCAUAUAUUUUCCUUCGGAUGACACGUGGUCAAACAGGAUUAACAACAUAAAAUAUGUAUUGAUUAUUUGUCUCCGGGAUCAUAUUGAUAGCGACUAAAUAUAAUGGAAAAGUCAUCGUCUGGUUUAAACUAAAAGCAUUAUUUUUUCAAAUAUCCAAGCGCACCCUAUACAUUACUAUAACUACAUGUAGUUAAAUCAUCGUCAAAAGCCUGUGUGAUACCGUUUUGUGGGAAUACGUGAUACGUGCAAAUGUGUAGUUAAAACAUUAUUUUGUCAUUAAUUUUACAAAGUGAAACUCAGUUGAUUGUUUUUGUAGUUUGUAUGCAAAAACCGGACCCUGGACCUUGUGAGGCACACAUGUUAAGACAUUACUACAAUUGGCAAAAGAAAGAAUGUUUGACAUUUUUUUACGGAGGAUGCGAUGGAAAUGGCAACAACUUUAAAAGUCUUGCUGAAUGUCAAGCUAAAUGUCCCUAACCUGAAUGUAUGUAUUAGUUUAUAUAUUAAUAGAUGAAUCAUUUGGUGGUAUUUGAAGAUAUGCAAUCAUAUAAGAUCUAUAGAGACAUGAUCAUUAAAUAUUAAAAUUGUAUCUUGAUUCAUUGAAUGAUUUAAUAACCAUUUAAAAUUGAGAUUUUAAAAGAGGAGUUUCAUUCCAUACAUACGUAGAUACAAACGGAAUUUCUAAUGAAUCCAUUAGAUAAAAGAACACACAUAUUUUCAAAUUUUGAAGAACAAAAUACAUAGAAAUAAAGACAGAUGUGAGGUACAUGUCAUGGGGAAAACAACCGGAAGGGGAAAACAACCGGAAGGGGAAAACAACCAGAAAGACAAAAGAAGCAAAAAACAAUUAAAAAAAAUAUACAAAUAUCAGUACGUAGAUAAAAUUGUGAUUUAAAAAUUCAUCUUUUCGAAAAUUAAAGUUACAUUUCAUUAACAAAGAUAUAGACACAUAAUAAGAACUAAUACGAGUAUGUAUUGAAAUUGACAGGUGCAUUUUCAUUUUCCUCUCUUGUUUUAUUUUCAGAUCCAAGAAAGAAUUGAAGUAUAGAAAAUGUGUAUUAAAAUACAGGAUGUUCAAUAUAUUCAUUAUAUACUGUUCUUUUUAUAUAUAUAUACCCAAAUUUAAAAGCGUCUUGUAGGUCAGAGGUGAAAAUAGCAUUGGAUUUAAACAUACCAUUGAAACAAACGCAAAAAUGUGCUGGCAUUGUCAUUAUAAAGAUGUCUGAGUUCCUAAUUGACAUCAUAUUUGCUAUUUUUUGAGGACGUGUAUUUGACAAACAAUCGACAUUUUAAUGGGAAUUAACCAGGCAUGUCGUAUUGCCGCCUUGUUUCCUUUUGUAUAUGAGCUAAUCUCAUACUAGAGCGUCAUUGAUAAAAAACGAAAAGAACCUAACAUUUUCCUCACACUUCUCGUUUCGUUAUAUAUAUGAUUUCCUCUAACUAGAUAAAUAUCAAAAGGUUGUGACCAUGUUGAACGCAAAUAUUCCAUUGAGUAUAAAAUAAAGGAUAUGACAACAUGGACAAUGAGGAUUGAUUGAGAAAUUAACAGCAGAAUUGAUUUCUGGUCUCCAAUGUUAACGCUGUAUAUCUUUGUAGCUUACUACCAACACCGCCUGAAUAUAGUGUAUAUAUCUCCUAGUUGAACAAAAUAUCAAGAUCUUGCACUGCCUUUCAUGUUGUCUUUUAAAAAGGUUGCUGCUUACAAGGAGGCUAUUAAUUUAGAAAUAAAAAAGGAGAUAUUGGAUAAUUGUCAAUGACACAACUAUCCACCAAAGUUGAAAUAAAAUGAGUGUUAGCAAUUAUAGGCAACCGUAAGGCCUUUAACCUUG